AUUUUGUUUGUUCUGCAGCGUCAACUUUUAUCGGCUGGAUUCUAGCAUCUAACGUUACGAUUACCUCUGUUGGGUUUGCUUGAUCAACCAUCGUUUCGGGGACUCUGAUGACAGUGAAGAGCCAGAAAAUGGUGACUUUGCAUCUCUGAGGUACCUUCCAACUCGCCUGGUAUAUCAGUUGAAGCCUCAAGCCCAAGCCUAUUGCACUGGCAAACUCCACCAUGU